GUGGGGAAUUUUGGACAAUGGGCGCAAGCCUGAUCCAGCCAUGCCGCGUGAGUGAUGAAGGCCCUAGGGUUGUAAAGCUCUUUCACCGAUGAAGAUAAUGACGGUAGUCGGAGAAGAAGCCCCGGCUAACUUCGUGCCAGCAGCCGCGGUAAUACGAAGGGGGCUAGCGUUGUUCGGAAUUACUGGGCGUAAAGCGCACGUAGGCGGAUAUUUAAGUCAGGGGUGAAAUCCCAGAGCUCAACUCUGGAACUGCCUUUAAUGCUGGGUAUCUCGAGUAUGGAAGAGGUGAGUGGAAUUCCGAGUGUAGAGGUGAAAUUCGUAGAUAUUCGGAGGAACACCAGUGGCGAAGGCGGCUCACUGGUCCAUUACUGACGCUGAGGUGCGAAAGCGUGGGGAGCAAACAGGAUUAGAUACCCCAGUAGUCC
rnacentral:rRNA from 1 species